rnacentral:sRNA from 1 species
GCGCUUUGUUCAGAUAAUGUCUUCGCUCUCGUCUUGAGGAGAAGAAGAAGAAGAAGAAGAAGAAGAAGAAGAGAAGACAGAUUUUUCAACGAAGAAGAAGAAGAAGAAGCAGAAGAAAGAAUGAUGAAGAA